rnacentral:lncRNA from 1 species
AGAAGGAUCCAAGUGUCCUGUGUCGUUCUUGCUGGCGAGACGAUCGCGCGGGACAUCUGGUGCCGAAACCCGGGAACUUGUUGACAUUGCCGGCGCUUUGGGAGACCCCUCGGAGGAUGGGGCGGAUUCAGAACUGCAGGGAGGGUACCUGAUAAAGUCCAGCCCCAACAUGGCAGUUCUUUACAUCCAGGCUUUCAUCCUUCCCUCUUGUUCACGGUGAUGGGCAAAGUUUCUUUAGGCAGCUGAAGGUCCUGGCGAUGGAAUGGGCUGGUAUGCUGUCAGUGAGACUUGUCUGUCCUUCUCUGUCUUUUGAGGUAAGUCCAUCAUGUUAUUCACUCCAUCACUGCAUUACUCCAUCA